CUCAUUUAUAUCAGUUGCCCCUGCCCCACUUGCCAUUCCCAUAACCUUCCAAUAAACAUAUCGCUAUAUAGUUUGGUAAUAUUGUUCAGUCGUUAGUUAAGUCAUGUCCAGUUCUUUGGCAGCCCCAUGGAUUGUAGCCCACCAGGUUCCUCUGUCCAUGGGAUUUCCCAGCAAGAAUACUGAAGUGGGUUGCCGUUUCCUUCUCCAGGGGAUCUUCCCAACACACAGAUCGAAACUGCAUCUCCUGCAUUGCAGGCAGAUUUUUUCUUUUAACCACUAAACCACCAGAGAAGCCCAUGUUUCAUUUAGCCAACAUGCUCCGGUGGAGGCUGGAGGACCACAGUUCAAGGAUGUGAAAGGUGGGAUACCCAAAGAAGCUCCAAAUACCACCUGCCGGUCUGGAGGGGAAGUCAAGAUUGUGCAUUUCUAACAAGUUCCCAAGUGAUCUGAUGCUGAGACCAUACUUUGAGAACAACUUCCCCAGAAAAAUUCUUGCAUGUGUGCAACAGAAAACAUGAACAAGAAAUUCCAUUGCACCUAAGAUUUAAUAACAACAACAACAAAAAAUGGAAAUAACCCAAAUGCCCAUCAACUGUGCAUGCUAAGUCACUUCAGUUGUGUCCAACUUUUUGCAACCCUGUGAACUGUAGCCCACCAGGCUCCUUUGUCCAUGGGACGCUCCUCUGUCCAUGGAAUUCUCCAAGCAAGAAUACUGGAAUGGGUUGCCACGCCCUACUCCAGGGGAUCUUCCCGACCCAGGGAUCAAAUCGGAGUCUGUUAUGUCUCCUGCAUUGGCACGCGGGUUCUUUACCAUUAGCACCACCUGGGAAGCCCCUCCCUUCAACUGUAAAUUGGACAAAUAAACUGUGGUAUUGUCAUCAGCAAAGCCCGUUAGCAAUUCCUGGGAAAUAAAAAUAGAAUCUUGGUAAUAAAGUCUAACAUUUUUUGUUCUCUUUCUUUUCCUUUUCACUUGCUCCUAGGGUGCCACAUGCAUAGGCUCUAUACUGAGCACUUCAGACUGUUUCUAAUGCUAAAUGGCCACACCCAGUAGUUCAGCUAAGUGGACCACGUGCAGAGAUGCUGUAACUGGCACUGUGAUCUGGAGCACCAUGAACAGUACAGCUGCAACUGCUGUGCAAGAACUCCACACCCCACACGACUGGCAAGAACCCUAGAAAGCUGCCCUGCCCGUGGCCUAGCAGGUAGAGCAUGUGCUCUAGAGUGUGAACUCACACCUUUCCAUUCUUUGAUUAAAAAUAAAACUUUCCUUUG
ensembl:lncRNA